AGUUAUUCAGUUCAUAAAAUCAUAGAUUCGUCACAUACAUUGUACUAUCAUUUUAUGUUGCAUAGAAUUUUAUUGUUAUAUGGUUUAUGUGAAUGAAUCAUUUUAUUGACAUGCAUUUUGCUCAAAAGUUUGAGCAAUUUCUAAUUCAAUUGUAACAGUAGCUCUGUAAGUUAAUUCCAGGUCUACAUUUACUAUCAAAACGUUUGAUUACUUGGAGCUCAGCAGUACCGGAAGGUAGACAACUUUGAAUCGCCACAGAGCAAAUACCAACUUAAAUCCUCAACAGAAAGAAGAUGUUGCAAUUCAAACAGCACAGCAUCUCCAUCAUACUACAGACAUCACAUCUCGUGAUUCUCUUCAUUUUAGUUAGUACUCAGUUCCAAUUUCUCAGUGGAGCUGAAGAUAAUUUAUUCGAAUUCAGUGAAAAUAAUGAUAUGGGAGAAGAAAACUUAAUGAAAGAAAUAAUGAAAGAAGAAAAUAACACAUCACAGGAUACUUUGUUGCGAGUAACAAGAAAUCAAGUUACUGACAAAUUACUUUUUUACGUAUUUUAUCUGUUGGGUAAUUUUGUUAUAGUUAUUGAUAAGAUCGCACGGUUACUAGGUUUUUUGAAAUAAUUAUGAUGACUCAUUAAUAUAAAGUUGUAAAUGCAUUCGAAUAAAAUUGAUUAUGUUUCAA